CGGGAUGUAGCGCAGCUGGUAGCGCGUCUGCUUUGGGAGCAGAAUGUCGCAGGUUCAAAUCCUGUCAUCCCGA
rnacentral:tRNA from 2 species